rnacentral:sRNA from 1 species
AACUCAGGACACAAGAUCGCGGCGGCAGC